rnacentral:rRNA from 1 species
AUUGAACGCUGGCGGAAUGCUUUACACAUGCAAGUCGAACGGCAGCACGGACUUCGGUCUGGUGGCGAGUGGCGAACGGGUGAGUAACAUAUCGGAACGUAUCCAAUAAUGGGGGAUAACGAGUCGAAAGAUUCGCUAAUACCGCAUACGCCCUACGGGGGAAAGCUGGGGACCUUUGGGCCUGGCGUUAAUGGAGCGGCCGAUAUCUGAUUAGCUAGUUGGUGAGGUAAAGGCUCACCAAGGCGACGAUCAGUAGCUGGUCUGAGAGGACGACCGGCCACACUGGAACUGAGACACGGUCCAGACUCCUACGGGAGGCAGCAGUGGGGAAUUUUGGACAAUGGGCGCAAGCCUGAUCCAGCCAUUCCGCGUGAGUGAAGAAGGCCUUCGGGUUGUAAAGCUCUUUCGCAAGGGAAGAAAACUUAGCCACUAACAUUGGUUGAGGAUGACGGUACCUUGAUAAGAAGCACCGGCUAACUACGUGCCAGCCGCCGCCGUAA